rnacentral:snRNA from 1 species
GUUCUUGUAGGGGAAACACUGACAUUACAAAAUGCUUUCCCAUGGGGAGGUUCAUCCACUACUCUCUGAUGUGCUCACUUCCGCUGUUUUCCACAAAUGAGGUAAACUCAAGCACACAGUUUGUGAUAGUGAAGGCUGCAUUCACACUCUUAUGGUAAUGACAAACUGAGCUGCCUUCA